rnacentral:rRNA from 1 species
AAUUUUGGACAAUGGGCGAAAGCCUGAUCCAGCCAUGCCGCGUGUGUGAAGAAGGUCUUCGGAUUGUAAAGCACUUUAAGUUGGGAGGAAGGGUUGUAGGUUAAUACCCUCCAUUUUUGACGUUACCGACAGAAUAAGCACCGGCUAACUUCGUGCAACCAGCCGCGGUAAUACGAAGGGUGCAAGCGUUAAUCGGAAUUACUGGGCGUAAAGCGCGCGUAGGUGGUUUGAUAAGUUGGAUGUGAAAGCCCCGGGCUCAACCUGGGAAUUGCAUCCAAAACUGUCUGACUAGAGUAUGGCAAAGGGUGGUGGAAUUUCCUGUGUAGCGGUGAAAUGCGUAGAUAUAGGAAGGAACACCAGUGGCGAAGGCGACCACCUGGGCUAAUACUGACACUGAGGUGCGAAAGCGUGGGGAGCAAACAGG